rnacentral:rRNA from 1 species
AUUGAACGCUGGCGGAAUGCUUUACACAUGCAAGUCGAACGGCAGCACGGACUUCGGUCUGGUGGCGAGUGGCGAACGGGUGAGUAAUGUAUCGGAACGUGCCCAGUCGUGGGGGAUAACGUAGUGAAAAUUACGCUAAUACCGCAUACGAUCUAUGGAUGAAAGCGGGGGAUCGCAAGACCUCGCGCGAUUGGAGCGGCCGAUAUCAGAUUAGGUAGUUGGUGGGGUAAAGGCCCACCAAGCCAACGAUCUGUAGCUGGUCUGAGAGGACGACCAGCCACACUGGAACAGAGACACGGUCCAGACUCCUACGGGAGGCAGCAGUGGGGAAUUUUGGACAAUGGGCGAAAGCCUGAUCCAGCCAUUCCGCGUGCAGGAUGAAGGCCCUCGGGUUGUAAACUGCUUUUGUACAGAACGAAAAGGUUUCUACUAAUACUAGGAGCUCAUGACGGUACUGUAAGAAUAAGCACCGGCUAACUACGUGCCAGCCGCCGCGGUAG